GAUUGGCACCGGGAUAUCCAGAUCAACGCCUGACUAAUCCCAAGGGGUGCAUAAGCUCUCGGCAUGGAGUUUUCUGCAAGUACACCAUAGUUAAUUCAAGGGUUUUUUUCUAGUCCGAUGGCCCCAAGGAAGUGAUGGCACUAUUUGGGAGGAAUAAUUAAAAGUCAUGUAGCCACAGAAGAAUAUUACUGAAAUUGAUAAAAAGAUUUACAUCAAUUCCUAUCACCUUCUCAGUGGCAAUUAUACUCUUGCGCAUGACACAUAGGCUUGCUUCUUACUCUGGAUGUUGCUGAUACUAGCGCAUGUUCCUAUUAUGUGUUAGUUGGUGGAUCUCAGCAGUGAAACAAUUUUUUGCCCCAUUUUGUGCAAGGAAAUUAUAGUUAAUUUUGUUUGGUUGUAGAGAUGGAGGGCAAUCUCAUUUGCAGCAUUGGUUUAUGCUUUCCAAACAUCAUUGUAAUCAAUUUUAUAGGCCUAAUUGACUUGGUUGAGUGGAGAAAACCGAUGUAAAACCACCUUUUGCUGAGAUGCUUUGAUUCUUUAGUAUGUAGAUAGAUGUGUUUUACUUA